CGCGCGUAAAGCUGGUCUGCAGUCCGGGAGAGAAGACGUGGUUCUGUGGCCUUUGAGGACCGGAGACGACCCCAGCUUGCCGCGGUGCUGUCUUGCAGGUCCGGAGCGGUCUGAGUCACACACAGGUGUCUGCGGUGAUAAACCUCUUCAUCACUAAGCCUCUGACAUCAUCAGUUUGUUUACCAUCUCAGAUGCUCAGUCGGUAUAAUCUGUCAUGCAAGGAUCUACCAUAAAUAACCACUUUUAAUAAUGCACAUAUGUAAAAUCAUAAUUAAAGCUAAGUCCCUUUAAAAAACAAGAUUGCAACCUAUUUUCAACUUUAAUUGUAAUGUAAAAAAAUCAAUUUAAUUGAUUUAAGCAAUUUUGCAUAUAUUUAAAAUUAUAUUGCGACUUUGGAUGUCAUUUUCAUA